GUUCUCACUUUGGCAGCAUAUAUACUAAAAUUAGAACAAUACAGAGAAAGUGGCAGGGCCCCUACACAAGGAUGACACACACAUUCAUGAAGUGUCCCAUGUUUUU
ensembl:snRNA U6 U6 spliceosomal RNA